GAGUUUGAUUCUGGCUCAGGAUGAACGCUGGCGGCGUGCCUAAUACAUGCAAGUUGAACGGACUUGGAGGGUGCUUGCACCUAACAAGUUAGUAGCGAACGGGUGAGUAAUACAUAAGCAACCUACCUAUUAGACUGGGAUAACUAUGGGAAACGAUAGCUAAUACCGGAUAGGUAACUUGAAGGCAUCUUUAAGUUAUUAAAGGUUAGAGACACUAAUAGAUGGGCUUAUGGCGUAUUAGUUAGUUGGUGAGGUAACGGCUCACCAAGACGAUGAUACGUAGCCGGCCUGAGAGGGUGAACGGCCACAUUGGGANUGAGACACGGCCCAGACUCCUACGGGAGGCAGCAGUAGGGAAUUUUCGGCAAUGGGCGCAAGCCUGACCGAGCAACGCCGCGUGAGUGAAGAAGGCCUUCGGGUUGUAAAGCUCUGUUAUAAAUUAAGAAUGG
rnacentral:rRNA from 1 species